GGAUUUGCUAGCUGGGCCCUGGCUCCCAGAAGCAGUGGUUUGGGAAGAGAAAAGAAGGCAUUCCUGGGUGGCCACGUGGUCACCCUGGGAGUGGAGCUGCAGGCAUGUGGCCCCCAGCUACUAAAGGCAAAGUUACCAGUGGAAUUCGGAGAUACAUCCAAUCUUGGGCACAAACCCCAUGACUUCAGGGCUGGUCAGUUACCCCCUGGGGUUUUGCCUCUGGGCCCCAGGAAAAUGUCUCCGAGGAAC